AUUUCGGAUUUUUCUUGAGAAAUUGGAAAGCGUGGCCACACGGGGCCUGCAUCUCUGCUUAUCCACCAUGAAAUGGGGCACAUGCCCUGCAGUUCUCUAUAGGUCUUCCCUCCCCACCCCCAAGCAGGUGUUCACUUUCGUGACCUCCGAUGACAUACCUGGUUCCAGAGACAGUGGAUGGUGGUCAGCAUAUGGGAAGAGAGAUGACUUCAGAGCCAGGCAUCCCGGAGGACUUCCUGAACUGGGAGCCCUCACCAGGACAGUGGGCAGGGGCUUCCCAGCCCCCUUCUCAGGAGAAGGAGCACACAUGUCCAAGCCCCCGACUAUCCCCAUCUGCCCUGGUCAGAGAUGACUAGCCGGACUGGGCGCCAUGGUUUUCUCUUCCCGCUGGAGUGGACAGAUGUCGACACAGGGGUCCGUGUGGCACCGGGGCUAUUCUGCUGGUCGCUCCCUUGGGUCACCACACUGGAAGUCUCCUCAUGGUGCCAGAAGGGUUGCCGCAGAUCCGGCUUCACGUUCGCACAACCUCAAGCCCCGAGGGAAAACAGAUUGCUUCCCCCAGGGCUCAGACUGAGUCCCAGGUCUCUGAUGGGCCCAAAUGGGGUCGGGUGCCCAUCCCUGAACCCAUCCCAUGGUCAAGAUGAUGAAAUUUACUGAGGGGCCAGGCCUGAGCCACGUGAUCUGCCCCUGAAGCCAGGGCUGGAUCAGCUUCACCCCAACUACAUGACCCACAAAAUCCAUUAGUGUCCCCUCACAGUUCUAACUCAGAGCAUGCCUGCUAAGCCAGAAAAGAAGUUAAUUCCUAUGACAUGGAUGGUCCAGUUUCUCAGCUCGGGCUGCCAUGGCAAAAUACCACAGACCGGGGGCUCGACAGUAGUUUCUUUUCUCACAGGUCUGGAGGCUGGAAGCCUGAGAGCAAGGUGCCAGCAUGGUCAAGUCCUGGCGAGGUCUCCUACUGGUUUGCGUUUGACCAACUUCUUUCUGUGCCCUCACGUGGCCUCACGUGGUCUCUUUUCCAUGUACACACACGCACACACAGAGAGAGAAAGAGAGACCUAUCUCUGGUGUCUCUUCCUCUUUUAUAAGGACACCAGUUCAAUCAGGGCCCACCCUUAUGACCUCAUUUAACCUUAAUUAUUUCUUUAAGGCCCUAUCUCCAAAUACACUCACACUGGGGCUUAGGGCUUCAACAUACAAAUGGAGGAGGGGGUAAAAUGCAUCCAGAAUAAGGGCCAAACUAACCAGCUGUAUGUUUCUAGGGGUUCUGUGUAAGCAUGGCAGGAAAUCCCAUGAAAUUCCAGUAUAAUAAGCAAGUGGGGAACUGUCCAAGAUCAAAUAGGAGCUGAAGGUCAAGGUUACAACCACACACCACCACCACCAGCCAGCCCAGCCCUCCUCCGGGACCACCAGCACCCUGAUGGGAGAGGGGAGCCCUGGGGCAGUCUGGCCCCAACAACUCCACUUACCUCCUUUCAGAACUCAGUCUCGGGGGCGCCUGGGUGGCUCAGUCGUUAAGCGUCUGCCUUCGGCUCAGGUCAUGAUCUCAGGGUCUUGGGAUCGAGCCCCGCAUCGGGCUCCCUGCUCGGUGGGAAGCCUGCUUCUCCCUCUCCCACUCCCCCUGCUUGUGUUCCCUCUCUUGCUGUGUCUCUUUCUGUCAAAUAAAUAAAUAACAUCU